ensembl:snRNA U6 U6 spliceosomal RNA
GUGUUCAUUUCACCAUAUUAUACCAAAAUUGGAACAACACCAAAAUUAGGAUAGCCCCUGUGCAAGAAUGACACCCAAGUUUGUAAAGCAUUCUCUAGUUUU